AUUGAACGCUGGCGGCAUGCCUUACACAUGCAAGUCGAACGGCAGCACGGGGGCAACCCUGGUGGCGAGUGGCGAACGGGUGAGUAAUACAUCGGAACGUGCCCUGAAGUGGGGGAUAACGUAGCGAAAGUUACGCUAAUACCGCAUAUUCUGUGAGCAGGAAAGCAGGGGAUCGCAAGACCUUGCGCUUUAGGAGCGGCCGAUGUCGGAUUAGCUAGUUGGUGAGGUAAAGGCUCACCAAGGCGACGAUCCGUAGCGGGUCUGAGAGGAUGAUCCGCCACACUGGGACUGAGACACGGCCCAGACUCCUACGGGAGGCAGCAGUGGGGAAUUUUGGACAAUGGGCGCAAGCCUGAUCCAGCCAUGCCGCGUGAGUGAAGAAGGCCUUCGGGUUGUAAAGCUCUUUCGGCGGGGAAGAAAUCGCACGGGUUAAUACCUCGUGUGGAUGACGGUACCCGAAUAAGAAGCACCGGCUAACUACG
rnacentral:rRNA from 1 species